rnacentral:rRNA from 1 species
CAUACCACCCUGAACGCAUCUGAUCUCAAAAGCUAAGCAGCGUCGGGACUGGUUAGUACUUGGAUGGGAGACUGCCUGGGAAUACAGGCUUAAAAAAAAA